ensembl:lncRNA
CGCUUUCCCAGCAACGUGCCCACUUUCAGCACAAAAACAACAAUGGUGGACCAUUUUUGCGCCAAGCCUACAAUGGCCUCCAAACACAUAUUUCUACUGCUUGUCAAGAUUCCUGUGGAGGCCAAUUACCUUCUAGGAGAAAGUGCUGGCCUGGCCGAGGGACGCCGUCCAGCCAGUCAGUGAGACCCGCCUAUGAUGACUGCAGACCCAGGCAGUUACAAAACUUCUUUCCUUCCAGAGUGUCGUUGUGUCAGUGCUUGUUGAGAGGCAGUGUGGCGGAGAGCUAGCAGGUGAAUGCAGUCAAGGUU